UACGAAGGGGGCUAGCGUUGCUCGGAAUCACUGGGCGUAAAGGGCGCGUAGGCGGCCAUUCAAGUCAGAGGUGAAAGCCCGGGGCUCAACCCCGGAAUUGCCUUUGAAACUGCAUCGCUAGAAUUGUGGAGAGGUAAGUGGAAUUCCGAGUGUAGAGGUGAAAUUCGUAGAUAUUCGGAAGAACACCAGUGGCGAAGGCGACUUACUGGACACAUAUUGACGCUGAGGUGCGAAAGCGUGGGGAGCAAACAGG
rnacentral:rRNA from 1 species